rnacentral:ncRNA from 2 species
AGUGAUGGUAGAGGAGCGAAAACCAUAAGUACACUUACUGAGGUGAAUGAGAGCCAGUGAAGUAAGCAGAAAGGGGAAUUCGCCGAAGUGCAAGGGUCACUCAUAUCCCUUGUGCUGGACCUAUGCUGAAUAAGUAUAGGGCUGUCACAUACCUACACCCAAGGGGUAUGUGGAGAACUAUCUCACGU